rnacentral:rRNA from 1 species
GGCGGCGGGCCUAACACAUGCAAGUCGAGCGGAAACGACACUAACAAUCCUUCGGGUGCGUUAAUGGGCGUCGAGCGGCGGACGGGUGAGUAAUGCCUAGGAAAUUGCCUUGAUGUGGGGGAUAACCAUUGGAAACGAUGGCUAAUACCGCAUGAUGCCUACGGGCCAAAGAGGGGGACCUUCGGGCCUCUCGCGUCAAGAUAUGCCUAGGUGGGAUUAGCUAGUUGGUGAGGUAAUGGCUCACCAAGGCGACGAUCCCUAGCUGGUCUGAGAGGAUGAUCAGCCACACUGGAACUGAGACACGGUCCAGACUCCUACGGGAGGCAGCAGUGGGGAAUAUUGCACAAUGGGCGAAAGCCUGAUGCAGCCAUGCCGCGUGUAUGAAGAAGGCCUUCGGGUUGUAAAGUACUUUCAGUUGUGAGGAAGGGUGUGUAGUUAAUAGCUGCGCAUCUUGACGUUAGCAACAGAAGAAGCACCGGCUAACUCCGUGCCAGCAGCCGCGGUAAUACGGAGGGUGCGAGCGUUAAUCGGAAUUACUGGGCGUAAAGCGCAUGCAGGUGGUUCAUUAAGUCAGAUGUGAAAGCCCGGGGCUCAACCUCGGAACUGCAUUUGAAACUGGUGAACUAGAGUACUGUAGAGGGGGGUAGAAUUUCAGGUGUAGCGGUGAAAUGCGUAGAGAUCUGAAGGAAUACCAGUGGCGAAGGCGGCCCCCUGGACAGAUACUGACACUCAGAUGCGAAAGCGUGGGGAGCAAACAGGAUUAGAUACCC